CCUACGGGAGGCAGCAGUGGGGAAUAUUGCACAAUGGGCGAAAGCCUGAUGCAGCAACGCCGCGUGAGGGAUGAAGGCCUUCGGGUCGGAAAGCUCUGUCCUCAAGGAAGAUAAUGACGGUACGUGAGGAGGAAGCAACGGCUAACUACGUGCAAGCAGCCGCGGUAAUACGUAGGGGGCUAGCGUUAUCCGGAAUUACUGGGCGUAAGGGGUGCGUAGGUGGUUUCUUAAGUCAGGGGUGAAAGGCUACGGCUCAACCGUAGUAAGCCUUUGAAACUGGGGAACUUGAGUGCAGGAGAGGAGAGUGGAAUUCCUAGUGUAGCGGUGAAAUGCGUAGAUAUUAGGAGGAACACCAGUUGCGAAGGCGGCUCUCUGAACUGUAACUGACACUGAGGCACGAAAGCGUGGGGAGCAAACAGGAUUAGAUACCCUAGUAGUC
rnacentral:rRNA from 1 species